GUCAAAUACACAUGGUUAGCAGAUGUUAAUGCGAGUGUAGCGAAAUGCUUGUGCUUCUAGUUCCAACAAUGCAGUAAUAUCUAACAAGUAAUCUAACAAUUUCACAACAACUACCUUAUACACACAAGUGUAAAGGAAUGAAUAAGAAUAUGUACAUAUAAAUAUAUGGAUGAGCGAUGGUCGUCCCGCAUAUGCAAGAAGAGUAGAUGGUAUAGAAUAGAGUAUAUACAUAUGAGAUGAGUAAUGUAGGGUAAGUAAACAUGAUAUAAAGUGGCAUUGAUUAGUCCCAUUUUUUACUAUUAUUGUGGCGAGAGAGUUAAGUCAGUAUGUUGGCAGCAGCCACUCAAUGUUAGUGGUGGCUGUUUAACAGUCUGAUGGCCUUGAGAUAGAAGCUGUUUUUCAGUCUUUCUGUCCCCGCUUUGAUGCACCUGUACUGACCUCGCCUUCUGGAUGAUAGUGGGGUGAACAGGCGGUGGCUCGGGUGGAUGUUGUCCUUGAUGAAUUCAAUACAUUUUUAUCCCACUUUGUAGCACAACAAAAUCUGGAAAAAGUAAAUGUGUCAGUCGUGUGUAUCGGUGGCAAGGAAGUCAGGCGCAGGAGUGUAAAACGAGUGUGAUGGAGUCCUUUUAAUAUAUGUCCACUAAACAUGCUCCAAACACUAAAUGUACAUACAUAAUAAACAUGGGUACGAGGACCCGUCGCGCCCCUAUACAAACAUAAACAACACUGACAUAAAACAAUCUCUGACAAAGACAUGAGGGGAAACCGAGGUUUAAAUACACAACAGGUAAUGAAUGGGAUUGAAACCAGGUGUGUAGGAAGACAAGACAAAACCAAUGGAAAAUGAAAAAUGGUGGCUAGAAGACCGGUGACGUCGACCGCCGAGCACCGCCCGAACAAGGAGAGGCAACGUCUUCGGCAAAAGUCUUGACAGUACCCCCCACCCCGGGCGCGUCGACACCGGCCUCUGGGACGACCCGGAGGGCGAGGUGCAGGGCGAUCCGGAUGGAGACUGUGGAAUUCUUUUAACAUGGAAGGAUCUAACACGUCCUCCACCGGAACCCAGCAUCUCUCCUCUGGCCCGUACCCCUCCCAGUCCACGAGGUACUGAAGGUACUGAAUAUGGAUCGAACAGAGUACGCCGGGACCCCCCCUUGAUGUCUAAAGGAGGCGGAGGAACAUCACGCACUUCAGCCUUCUGGAGCGGGCCAGCCACCAGCGGCCUGAGGAGAGACACAUGGAACCAGGGGUUAAUACGGUAAUUAGUGGGCAGUUGUAACCUAUAACAUACCUUGUUCACUCUCCUCAGGACUUUAAACGGCCCCACAAACCGCGGACCCAGCUUCCGCAGUUUGUAAGGUCGUAGGGAGACCGGGCAAAGGGAGGAGACAACAGGACUUAGAAAACCGAUCCACAACAACCAGGAUCGUGGUGUUACCCUGUGAAAGUGGAAGAUCAGUCAAAAAAUCCACCGACAGGUGCGACCACGGCCGUUGAGGAACGGGUAAAGGUUGUAGCUUACCUCUGGGCAGGUGUCUAGGAGCCUUGCACUGGGCACACACCGAGCAGGAGGAAACAUAAAUCUUCACAUCCUUAGCUAAAGUGGGCCACCAGUACCUCCCAUCAAGACGGCGCAUCGUCCGACCUAUCCCAGGAUGACCAGAGGAGGGUGAGGUGUGGGCCCAAUAGAUCAAUCGGUCGCGGACGGCAGACGGAAUGUACAGACGACCAGCUGGACACUCAGGGGGAGAGGGCUCUGCACGUGAUGCCCGCUCAAUGUCCGCGUCCAGCUCCCACACUACUGGCGCCACCAAACACGAAGCUGGAAGUAUGGGAGUGGGAUCCAUGGACCGCUCCUCUGUGUCAUACAGCCGGGACAAUGCGUCUGCCUUAAUGUUCUGGGAGCCUGGUCUGUAAGAAAGAGUAAACACAAAACGAGUGAAAAACAUGGUCCACCUUGCCUGACGAGGAUUCAGUCUCCUCGCUUCCCGGAUGUACUCCAGAUUGCGAGGGUCAGACUAGAUGAGAAAAGGGUGUUUAGCACCCUCAAGCCAAUGCCUCCACGCCUUCAAGGCUUUUACGACAGCUAAUAGCUCCCGGUCCCCCCCACAUCAUAGUUUUGCUCCUCCGGGCUGAGUUUCUUCGAAAAGAAAGCACGGGGCGGAGCUUCGGUGUAAGCUAAAGUUUAAGUCGGCUAAAGUUUAAAACACACACACACCUUCCCCAUCCACACAUGCAUGCACACCAGUGGAGGCUCAUAGGAGGACGGGCUCAUUGUAAUGGCUGGAAUGGAAUUAAUGGAACGGAGUCAAACGUGGUUUCCAUAUGUUUGAUCUGUUUGAUAAAGUUCCAUUAAAUCCAUUCCUGCCAUUACAAUGAUCCCAGCCUCAUAUAGCUCCUCUCACCAGCCUCC
ensembl:lncRNA